rnacentral:rRNA from 1 species
UACGUAGGGUGCGAGCGUUAAUCGGAAUUACUGGGCGUAAAGCGUGCGCAGGCGGUUCUCCAAGUCCGUUGUGAAAGCCCCGGGCUCAACCUGGGAAUGGCAUUUGGGACUGCAAGGCUCGAGUGCGGCAGAGGAGACUGGAAUUCCUGGUGUAGCAGUGAAAUGCGUAGAUAUCAGGAGGAACACCGAUGGCGAAGGCAAUCCCCUGGGCCUGCACUGACGCUCAUGCACGAAAGCGUGGGGAGCAAACAGG